GCAACGAGAGCGGCAAGAAGAAGGCGCACCACGUCAACGCGGGACACGACUUCGUGGAGCGAGGCAAGAAGGGAUACAGCAAUAAGGGUCACCAAGACUCCGAUCACAAAGGCUACAAUGGCAAGGAUGGUCACGAGGAGCACCAUCAACACCACUCCCAGCACGGCAAAAAGGGAGGCAAGGAGGGCGGCUCCCACUGGGGCUACGCCAAGAAGAGCUAAUCUGGACGCUGAUUACCUUAGGAACUUAAGUUUGGUCUUAUCAAACAGUGCUGUGGCAUCGGUAGUUAUUAUUUGUAUUUUGUUCAGUAAGUCUACAAUGAUCAAACAGUCAGCCGCUGCAGGUUUACAGCGAGUAUACUGAAGAAACAGAUAAUGAAGUUACCUUGUAGUUAAUUCCAAUAAAAAUGAAGGUUUUUGCCUAGAUGCUUCUCCAAGAAACAGUGAUGAUUUGAGCAGCAGUAUUACUAAAUAACCUACAUUUUCAGACAAUCGUACAACCUCAGCCAAUUUUAACCAGACAGAAAAAAACGAGGGUCUCUUCAGUUGCAGAAUCCAAGCUGCCUUUGUCAUUUUUACGCAACACCCAAUUAGAUUCAAUUGUGCCUUUUUGUCUAAUUGUAACUUCGAUGCUCUAUUAACUUUCAAAACACCAAUGUUCCCCAUUAAAUGAAGCGACAAAAACUGACCGUCACUUGAAGAAACGCAGGAAAACAUAAUUUACAUAACUUUAAACCCUAACGUCUUUAUAAAUACUUUUUUGUUGAUCCAUUUUGUCCGUCGUUGGUUCUCACGCCAAAUUUCAUGGGUGUUGUUUAUUUGCAAUCACCUGUCUUGUCUGUAAAAAGACACUUAAAACUCCAUCAAAAGUCGAAUGAACUGCUCUAACAAACCCAUCUAGUUGCAUAACCGACUGAGACGAAUCGACCGACAACCCACUAACGAAACAUGAGCGAGCCCGCAUUUUUUGUUUCGUGUCCAUUUUUUCUACGAGUUGCACUGGUUUGAGCUAUAUUUAAAUACAAAGCCAAUACUAAAAGGUGUACUACGUGUUGGGUCAAGCAAGAUCCAACUUCAAAUGUCAUUCCUAUUUUAACCGUUCCUUUUCAGUAUUAUCGCACUAUUUCUGGAGAGAAGGUUAUGUCAAGAAUAGACUUGAUGGUACCAUGAACGGGAUUUUCAACAGCAUCAAUAUCCUUUGAUAUUAUACUGCUAACAAAUUUAAAUACGACAAGUAAUUACGUUUGUUUGCAGUACGAAUAUAUUUUUUUACUAUUGUUGUAAAUAUUGUUAAGAACGUAUUAAUUUUAUACUUAGUAAACUUAUAUGAUUGCCUCAAAUAAAUAGUUUAAUGAAUUUAUUGUUUAUAAUUGUCUAAAGUUGAUUCCUAGUUUUAGUUAUGAAUUUAUAUAAAUUGGAUCAAUACGGAACUUGUUUAAAAACAAGGCGAAUAUCUUUACGAUAAGCUUUUAUAAGUUAAAAGCAUUUUAAUUUAAGAAAAAAGCUGUGUUACUGUUACACAUAUUUAUUUUGUUACCAAUAACAAUAAUACUAUUAUUAACAUUUUGUUAAUUUUAACAAUAAAAUUUAUGAAUGCUU